rnacentral:rRNA from 1 species
CUAGCUUGCUAGAUUGAUGGCGAGUGGGGAACGGGUGAUUAAUACAUCGGAACGUGCCCUGUAGUGGGGGAUAACUAGUCGAAAGAUUAGCUAAUACCGCAUACGACCUGAGGGUGAAAGUGGGGGACCGCAAGGCCUCAUGCUAUAGGAGCGGCCGAUGUCUGAUUAGCUAGUUGGUGGGGUAAAGGCCCACCAAGGCGACGAUCAGUAGCUGGUCUGAGAGGACGAUCAGCCACACUGGGACUGAGACACGGCCCAGACUCCUACGGGAGGCAGCAGUGGGGAAUUUUGGACAAUGGGCGAAAGCCUGAUCCAGCAAUGCCGCGUGUGUGAAGAAGGCCUUCGGGUUGUAAAGCACUUUUGUCCGGAAAGAAAUGGCUCUGGUUAAUACCUGGGGUCGAUGACGGUACCGGAAGAAUAAGGACCGGCUAACUACGUGCCAGCAGCCGCGGUAAUACGUAGGGUCCAAGCGUUAAUCGGAAUUACUGGGCGUAAAGCGUGCGCAGGCGGUUGUGCAAGACCGAUGUGAAAUCCCCGAGCUUAACUUGGGAAUUGCAUUGGUGACUGCACGGCUAGAGUGUGUCAGAGGGGGGUAGAAUUCCACGUGUAGCAAUGAAAUGCGUAGAGAUGUGGAGGAAUACCGAUGGCGAAGGCACCCCCCUGGGAUAACACUGACUCUCAUGCACGAAAGCGUGGAGAGCAAACAAGAUUAGAUACCCUGAUAGUCCACGCCCUAAACGAUGUCAACUAGUUGUUGGGUAUUCAUUUCCUUAGUAACAUAGCUAACGCGUGAAGUUGACCGCCUGGGGAGUACGGGUCGCAAGAUUAAAACUCAUAGGAAUUGACGGGGACCCGCACAAGCGGUGGAUGAUGUUGAUUAAUUCGAUGCAACGCGAA